rnacentral:rRNA from 1 species
UACUCUUAGCAAGGCUCUUACAAUUAUGAAGAAUGUAACAAAAUGUGAUAUGUGAUGUGAAUUAUAAAACUCCAUAAAUCAUUGAAGUUUUGAAUGCAACUUAUGCUGGAUGCAUUAUGAGGGCAUGUUUGCCUGAGUAUCU